rnacentral:rRNA from 1 species
GGGAAAAAAAAUGACAGUCCAAGGGGCAUCGUGGGAGCGUACCUUGCUUUGCUCCGCCGGCGACCGGCGCACGGGUGAGCAUUUCAUAUGCAACCUGCCCGUUUCAGCGGGAUAACCCGGACCCUUCCGGCCUAAUACCGCAUGUGUCCGAGGGGAGGCAUCUUCUUUCGGCCACAGGAGGCGACUCCGGAGACGGAUGGGUAUGCGUGACAUUAGCUUGCUGGCGGGGUAACGGCCCACCUACGCGACGAUGUCUAGGGGUUCUGAGAGGAAGGUCACCCACACUGCUACUGAGACACGGACCAGACUCCUACGGGAUGCAGCAGGGAGGAAUAUUGGUCAAUGGGCGAUAGCCUGAACCAGCAAAGUCGCGUGAAGGAUGACGGCCCUACGGGUUGUAAACUUCUUUUGCCAGGGAGCAAUUGUGUCCACGUGUGGGCUUAACGAGAGUACCUGAAGAAAAAGCAUCGGCUAACUCCGUGCCAGCAGCCGCGGUAAUACAGAAGAUGCGAGCGUUAUCCGGAUUUAUUGGGUUUAAAGGCUGCGUAGGCGGAAUAUCAAGUCAGCGGUACAAAUUCUGGGCUCAAUCCCGUCGUGCCGUUGAAACUGAUGUUCUUGAGUGGACGAGAACUAUGCGGAAUGCGUGCUGUACUGGUGAAAUGCAUAGAUAUCACGCAGAACUCCGAUUGCCAGUGCUGCAUACCGGCGCCCAACUGACGCUGAAGCAAAAAAGCGUGUAUAUCGAACACGGAAUUC